UUUCAUGAUUUUAAUGUACAAAGGAAAAAGGUUAGAAGAUUGAUGAUGUGAACUGGUAUUUAUAAUCUGACAAUCACGUUAUUUACGUCAUCUCAUGAUAAAUGUCAUGUAUUGUUUGUCAAUUUACUUAUUGCGGUUAUUAUGGAGGUUUAUGAAUGCAAUUAACGUCAUAUACAACAUAGUGUAGAAAAUAAUUGUUCAUUAAGGUCACAUGUGGUCUAACUGAAGGUUGGUGAAGAGCCAUUACCUGAGGGUCCUCUUUGGCUUCUUUUGACUGAAAAGGCGAGUAAUAGGUCAUACUGGAUGUUGCAUUGUUGUUAACAAGUUAUACUACCGCUUGGAUUCUUGGUUAGCUUGCAGCUGGCAUUUCAUGAGUCAGAUCACCACAUGGGGUUCUGGUCAUCUGUACAAGUUCAGGAGUUUUGGUCAGCUGUAACGGGUCAUAUCUUUGAACAACAUGCACUACCUCAUAUUCUCUCAUGGAUCAAGAUUUGCUUUUUAUGGGAUACACCUCUGUUGUUCUAGCCUACGUCCCUACUAUAUACAUUAUGCAUGCACGGGCCACCUGGGAAGAAAAGUCAAUGUUAUGGCGAAAAUGGUUGUCUCCGGGUCCUAUACUUUCAAACUUCUAUAGAGAUGGAAAGAUGGCUCGGUUGGGUGGGUUGGGUA